UUGGAUCUAGGCUUUCUAAUUAAACAUGCUUUGAAUCCAAGACUUCUAAUGUCUAUUUAGGUGUAAUAACAAUAUUAAAACAGAUCUAGAAUCAUACCUUUGAAUUCCUUGUUGAUCUUGUUGUCUUGGAGCUUCUAGAGUCACAAUUGUCACUCCUCUAAUGGCUUACAAACACCAAAUAGCAAAGAGGAUGAUUUGGGAGAGAGGAGAGGGGAGGAAAUCGGUUAGGGUUCUCUUACUUUAGAUGAAGUACCGAUUUCCUUAUGCCAUAGGUUCUAUUUAUACUUGUAGACUCCUUAAGGGUUACAACCUAAACCCUAAUUAGAUAAUCUUCUCUUAAGGCUAUCCAAAUCCAUUCCUUAGAUAACCCCUUGGACGAUUUGAAGCUAUUCUUAGCUUCUAGAAUCCGUCCAAUGCAUAUUAAUAUGGAUUUACAGUCUAAAGUUUAACUAUCAAACAAUUGACAGUUUAUACCCUCUUAUUUAAUUAAUCUCUUUAAGUCACCAAAUUAAUUCCAAUUAAUUCUAUGACUUAUAUUAAUCAAAUAACAAUAUAUUAUUCUUUAUAUUAUUCUCAUAAUAUACUAAUAAUAUUUACUCUCUCUUAAUAAAUCAUCCUAUCAAGUUGCUAUGGUGAAGGCAACCCAAAAGGACCAUGCACAACCGGGUCAAAUACUUGCCUAAUAUAGUUGCAGCCUUAGACACUAUUCCAACAGUCUCCCACUUGGAUAAGUCUAGUAACUAUAUGCACAAGUACAAUUCGGUUUGCAAUCGUAGCUCUCAAAGACGCUGUCAAACUCUGAUCUAAUCAAUCUUGUCCUUCAUAUAAGGGAUCGUACAGUCCUCUGUUAGAUAUCAUGUUGACAAUCCUAUGGAAUGGUUAGUCAAGCAUUUAGGUUUUCGAUCUCUGAUUUAUUCGACAUAGAAUGUAAUCGAACACAUCAAUUCAGUUCUGACCGGGCCCGGCACAUAAGUCAAAUCAAAUCAUCGAGCGGCCGAGAUAUCGCUUUUACCUUCUUAGAUAAAAGUUACAGAUAAACUUCGACUUAUAUGCAUUUACUUAUUCAUUUACCAACUAUACACAACAAUACGUUUUAUAACACCAAGUUACUGAUGCGUUUUCGUAUUAUCAAUGUACAAUCAAUUAACAAAUAAUAAACCAUAUAUCUAGGUUUUAAGACUAUAUGAUAUUAUCGUCUUGCGAUCACCUUUUAUAUCGUAUUCCAUAAGGUGAUUCCAGCAAGCGCGGGUUUAUUCCAAUGCUCAAAACUAGUUCAUAAGCACUCAUGAACGUUGCAGCAAUCCUUUGCUAUGUCUAACACCAUUUAGACAUUCUACACACCAAUUCAUGACAAUCUUCAUUCAUAUCUACUCCCAACAUAUGAACGAUUGUGGACCAUUUGAACAAUUCGAUUAUUCCUAAUAAACUCAAUUAUUCUGGAAGUCAAAACAUGCAAAGUGAAACAAUAGCUAAACAAUUAACAUAAGAUAGUAACAUUACUCAUAAAUAAAACUCCUUUAUUUAAUCAUCAAAUGUUAAUUACAUUUAUCUAUUACACGUUUCUAAUACUAUCUAAUCUAUGCUAAUAUCAUCCUUCAGCCCAAUACUCCUAGCAUGCUGCAAGUGCUUAACCCUACUCAGUCCCUUCGUAAGCGGAUCUGCUGGGUUAUCUUCUGAUGAUAUCCUCUUCACUACGAGUUGUCCUUCUUCUACACGAUGUCUAAUGAAGUGAUACUUUCUGUCGAUAUGUCUUGAUCUACCAUGAUCCCUCGGUUCCUUGGUUAAGGCAACCGCGCCUUCGUUAUCACAGAAAAUCUCCAUUGGCUCCUUUAUGGCAGGUACAACUCCAAGAUCACCGAUGAAGUUCUUUAGCCAUAUUGCCUCCUUCGACGCUUCGCUCGCUGCAAUGUACUCUGAUUCGCACGUUGAAUCAGCUACGGUUUCCUGCUUGGAACUCUUCCAUGUCACUGCUCCUCCAUUUAGGGUAAAGACCCAGCCCGACUGCGAACGGUAGUUGUCCCUGUCGGUCUGAAAACUGGCGUCACUAUACCCUCGCACCUUCAAGUCAUCACUCCCUCCGAGGACUAAGAACCAUUCCUUCGUCCUCCGAAGGUACUUAAGGAUAUUCUUCACCGCAAUCCAAUGUGCUUUGCCAGGAUUCCCUUGAUAUCUGCUAACCAUGCUCAAAGCGAAGGCUACAUCAGGGCGAGUACAAGUCAUAGCGUACAUGAUUGAGCCAACUGCGGAAGCGUAUGGUACUCGGCUCAUUUCUGCUAUCUCAGCUUCGGUACUCGGACUUUGAGUCUUACUCAAUUUGGCAUUACUUUGUAUCGGUAGUUCUCCCUUCUUUGAGUUUUCCAUACUAAAACGUUUUAGUACCUUCUCUAAGUAAGUAUUCUGACUAAGUCCAAUUAGUCUCUUACUUCUUUCUCUUACUAUCCUUAUUCCCAAAAUGUAAGAAGCCUCUCCGAGGUCCUUCAUAGCGAAGCACUUCCCGAGCCAGGACUUAACCUCCUGCAGAGUCGGGAUGUCGUUUCCUAUGAGUAAUAUGUCAUCGACAUAUAGAACGAGGAAGCUUACUAUACUCCCACUGGCUUUGACAUAUACACAAGAUUCGUCUUCGCUUCGUACAAAUCCAAACUCUUUGACUUUCUCAUCGAAGCAAAGAUUCCAUCUGCGAGACGCUUGCUUAAGUCCAUAAAUGGACUUCUCAAGCUUACACACUCUAUUCGGAUGCUUCGGAUCCACAAACCCCUCUGGCUGAGCCAUGUAAACAUCCUCAGCCAACUUUCCGUUAAGGAAAGCGGUCUUGACAUCCAUUUGCCAAAUCUCAUAAUCAUGAAAUGCGGCAAUUGCUAGCAUCACUCUAAUAGAUUUAAUCUUCGCAACUGGUGAGAAGGUCUCAUCAUAGUCAACUCCGGGAGUUUGAGUAAAGCCCUUCGCAACCAAUCGCGCUUUAUAUGUGUGUACGUUUCCAUCCACGUCGGUCUUCUUCUUGAAGAUCCAUUUGCACCCAACGGUCUUACGUCCGGGCACAUAAUCAACCAAAUUCCAAACUUGGUUAUCAUACAUGGAUUGGAUCUCGCUAUCCAUUGCCUCUUUCCAUUUUGCAGACUCCGGGCCUGCCAUGGCUUCCUUAUAGCUAUUAGGUUCAUCAAGAUUUACUAGUGUACCAUCACUAAUAUACGUGUCCCCUUCGGUAGUAAUAUGAAAACCAUAAAACUGGGGAUGAACUCUAACUCUAUCGGAACGUCUAAGAGGUAAGGAUUCGUCAAUCGGUUCAACCGGAGUUUCCUCCUCGGGUUGAGUGCCAGCGGUAGAGGUUCCUUCAUCUAUCGACUCUUGAAUCUCUUCAAGUUCGAUUUGCCUCCCACUGUCUCCUUGGCUUAUGAGUUCUCGCUCUCGGAAAACUCCUCUCCUCGCAACGAAGACAACAUUGUCCUUCGGUCUAUAGAAGAGAUAUCCAAAGGAUGUCUGCGGGUAGCCGAUGAAAAUACAUCGCUCACUUCGAGGUUCAAGCUUGUCGUGAGUAUCUCGUCUUACGAAAGCCUCGCAACCCCAAACCUUGAUAUGUGCCAACGAGGGAGCUUUCCCUGUCCACAUCUCGUGAGGUGUUUUGGCAACCUUCUUAGUAGGGACUCGGUUAAGGAUAUGGGCGGCAGUCUCUAAGGCAUACCCCCAAAAAGAGAUAGGUAGUGAAGCACGACUCAUCAUAGAGCGAACCAUAUCCAAUAAGGUUCGAUUACGCCUUUCUGCCACACCAUUCAACUGCGGUGUCCUAGGAGGCGUCAAUUGUGAAACUAUUCCACACUCCUUGAGAUAAUCGUGGAAUUCAAGACUUAGGUACUCUCCUCCUCGAUCGGAUCGAAGCAUCUUGAUUUUCCUGCCCAAUUGAUUCUCCACUUCAUUCUUGAACUCUUUGAACUUUUCAAAGGUUUCUGACUUUUGCUUGAUUAAAUAGAUAUACCCAUAUCUACUAUAAUCAUCGGUAAAAGUCACGUAGAAGCGGUUCCCAUCCUUCGUGGUUGAUCUAAACGGUCCACAUACAUCGGUAUGUAUUAGGUCCAAUAGACCCUCACCCCUUUCACAUGUACUCGUGAAGGGUGACUUAGUCAUCUUUCCAAGUAAACAAGACUCGCAUGUGUCAUCUUCCCUAAGGUCGAAUGACUCCAACACUCCAUCCUUUUGGAGUUGGGCUAUGCGUUUCUUGUUGACAUGUCCAAGACGACAAUGCCACAAGGAUGCUUUAUCCAUACUAGUGGAAGAAUCUAUAUUCAAAACAUCAUUUCCUAAGUUAUCAACAAUCAUAACAGUUUCAUAAAUUCCAUUACAUGGUAUAGCUUCAAAGUAAAAGACACCAUUUAGAUAAGCCAAAAUAGAACCAUUCUCAUUAUUAAAAGAAAAUCUAAAACCUUGUCUAUAUAAACCAUGAAAUGAAAUGAUGUUUCUAGCCAUUUCUGGCGAAUAGCAACAAUUGUUCAAAUCUAAACAUAAACUAUUCCUAAGCACUAAAGAAUACACUCCAAUCUUGGUCACAGGCGACGAUCUUCUGUUCCCCAUGAUUAGAUUGAUCCUUCCUUGCUCCACAUCCCUACUUCUUCUUAGUCCCUGCACAUUAGAACAAAUGUGAUAACCACAACCGGUAUCAAGAACCCAAGAAAUAGCAUGAUUAGAAUCGUUAGAUUUAAUUGUGUAUAUACCUGCGAAAGAUGGCUUGAUCUUUCCUUCUUUGAUUGCUUGCAGGUACUCUGGGCAGCUUCUCUUCCAAUGUCCUAUCUUGUGGCAGUGGUGGCACUCUGCCUCCUUCGGGUUAGGGCAGGGCUUAGCGGGAUCAACUUUGGUCCCACUAGAAGAGGCACCAUCUCGGGCUUUAACCUUGCGAUAGUUCUUAGACGAAGCCUUCCUCUUCUUUCCCUUUCCUUGACCAAUAGCCAAGACAGGAGCAGCGGGUGGAUUGGGAGUUGGUGCAACAGACUUGUCUUUGAAGUUGCUCUCAGCGACCCUCAAGAGACCUUGGAGUUUGCUUAGGGUGACCUCCUCUUUGUUCAUGUGGUAGGUCAUCCUAAAUUGAUUGUACAUCGGAGGCAAAGAGUGAAGCACCAUGUCGAUCGCCAAGUCUUCCCCAAAGUCAACAUUUAACUUGCGAAGGCGGUCGACAUACCUUUGCAUCUUUUGCAGGUGCACGGUAAGAGACUCUCCAUGACCCAUCUUAGCGGAAAUCAUGUUAGUGAAAAUCUCAUAACGCUCUUGUCUCGCGUUUUGGUGGUAUCUCUCCAAUAAGUCUUGAUGCAUCUCGUACGGGUACAUGUCCUCAUAGGACUUUUGGAAUUCGGAGUUCAUGGUGGCUAUCAUGAUGCAAUGUACCUUCGUUGCAUCGCGCUCAUGAGUUUCAAAAGCGGUCAUUUCAGCCGGAGUAGCGAUUUCAGGGUUGAUUUUCUCGAGCUUCUCAUCGAGGACAUACUCCUUAUCCUCAUAGCGAGCAAUGGUGCGAAUGUAUCUUAUCCAUUCGCUAAAGUUCGUUCCAUCGAAGGUGACCUUUUGGCAAAGGCUCAUCAACGUGAAAGAACUAGCAGCAGCGUUGUUUGCGUUCGACAUCUACAAAUAGAAAGGACAAAGAUAGAUUAGAAUAAGAAUCCCUAAUUAUCACCCAAUAAGAAAAAUUAGGGCUAGGAUCCAACAAUAACAUUUACAUACUAGAAAAGGGAUGCCGUAAUCUAACAUGCAAAUAAAUUGAAGGUAAGUGAAUGACGAUUCACUAAUUCUCCACCAAAAAACCUAACUAUUAGUCCUAAAUGUAUUGAGAAUUCCUAGGUUCGGAUGAGAUUCAUUGAAACUAUUCAAUGGCAUGUUUAAAUCUCGAUAUGCCCCUCUUGUUUGUGACUGGGAUACCGAGGAUCACAAAGCGGGUGUGAAUUACCAUGCAAAUUCACAUGGUGCCUUCAUUGUAACGAUCACCUAUUCGAUGUGCCGGUAAACCACACACGCUCCAUCGAACUAUGAUAAACAAUGAAUCACCCUUUGCCACCUUUGCUUAGAACCAAUUAGUGUGCCGGUAAACCACACACGCUCCACUAACUUCUUAGCAAGGGUGCAAAGUGUAAUUUCAUGGGAUUGCAUCAAUUCACUUUUCCUAAAGUAACUAAGAUUGGGAAAUUUUAAAAUAUGUGUAGUUACUUUGUAUUUCUUAUUAUACUUUUAAUGAGAGGAUGAGGUUGCCCUAUCCUACCCGUUCGGCUAACGACCCUCCACCGAUCAAGCAAGCGGUGGGUGUGAGUGUACACCCAUUAAGCGCCAUUUUAUAGGCCGCAACCUUAUACCCACCUUAUAGAUCGGCUUCGUGAAUGAGGCCUACUAACGGUAAGACUAGCAUUUAGUUAUAUAUAUAUAUAUUAAUCUUGUAAUAUUAUAUUAGUAUAGGGUUGUAUUUUAAACCUUUUAAAAUCUAGGGUUUGAAAUUUAAAUUGUCUAAAUUAAAACUUUUAAUCACAAAAUAUAAAUUUCAAAACUUGAGGACAAGUUUUAAACAUUUAAAACAUGGAGGAUCAAAUAACAAAUAAUUUCAAUUAACAAUUAAUUUCCUAAUUAUCUAUAUUUGAUUUAUUCAAGAUUUCUUGCAAGAUAAUUACCAAAAUAAUCAAAAUAAUUAAUUAAUUAUCAUAUAAGGAAAUUAAAUAUUUUAUUAGUUGAUAAAUAUCUUUAAUUAGAUCAAGAUAAUAGUCAUAUAUAUCAAAAAAUCGGAUUAGGGUUGAUCUAAUAUGAUUAAGGUAAGUUUCCAUAAGAUAAUCAUGAAGAAAUCCCGAAUCUGGCCAUUCCUGACGCUUGGACUCGCCGAGUGCACCAAGGGACUCGCCGAGUCAGGCCAACUCGCCGAGUCCACUAUGGAACUCGCCGAGUCCAUGACUCAGAAACACAAAAAUCGAAUUUUGCAGUUUAGUUUCAGACAAUUAAGCAACAAUUUAAUGAAAACCAAGCUAGGCUCUGAUACCACUGAUGGGUUUUAGCCAUAAGAACUUUCCUAUGUGCGCAUGCAAAACCCUAAUGCUUGGAUCUAGGCUUUCUAAUUAAACAUGCUUUAAAUCCAAGACUUCUAAUGUCUAUUUAGGUGUAAUAACAAUAUUGAAACAGAUCUAGAAUCAUACCUUUGAAUUCCUUGUUGAUCUUGUUGUCUUGGAGCUUCUAGAGUCACAAUUGUCACUCCUCUAAUGACUUACAAACACCAAAUAGCAAGGAGGAUGAUUUGGGAGAGAGGAGAGGGGAGGAAAUCGGCCAGGGUUCUCUUACUUUAGAUGAAGUACCGAUUUCCUUAUGCCAUAGGGUCUAUUUAUACUUGUAGACUCCUUAAGGGUUACAACCUAAACCCUAAUUAGAUAAUCUUCUCUUAAGGCUAUCCAAAUCCAUUCCUUAGAUAACCCCUUGGACGAUUUGAAGCUAUCCUUAGCUUCUAGAAUCCAUCGAAUGCAUAUCAAUAUGAAUUUACAGUAUAAAGGUUAACUAUCAAACAAUUGACAAUUUGUAUCCUGUUAUUUAAUUAAUCUCUUUAAGUCACCAAAUUAAUUCCAAUUAAUUCUAUGACUUAUAUUAAUCAAAUGACAAUAUAUUAUUCUUUAUAUUAUUCUCAUAAUAUACUAAUAAUAUUUACUCUCUCUUAAUAAAUCAUCCUAUCAAGUUGCUAUGGUGAAGGCAACCCAAAAGGACCAUGCACAACCGGGUCAAAUACUUGCCUAAUAUAGUUGCAGCCUUAGACACUAUUCCAACAUUAUCUUCCCUAUUCCUGUAGCUAUGGGAGCUCCUAUUUUUAGUGAAAAACUGCAAAUGUCAACAGCUUCAUGAACCAUUUCAUGUAUGGAGAAAGAUACUUCAUAACUCUGUUCUCAAUCUGCAUCAUUUCACACUUGAUUUGAUCUUCAACAA
rnacentral:lncRNA from 1 species